UACGUAGGGUGCGAGCGUUGUCCGUAAUUAUUGGGCGUAAAGAGCUCGUAGGCGGUUUGUUGCGUCUAUCGUGAAAACCUGCAGCUUAACUGUGGGCUUGCGGUGGAUACGGGCAGACUUGAGUUCGGUAGGGGAGACUGGAAUUCCUGGUGUAGCGGUGAAAUGCGCAGAUAUCAGGAGGAACACCGGUGGCGAAGGCGGGUCUCUGGGCCGAUACUGACGCUGAGGAGCGAAAGCGUGGGGAGCGAACAGG
rnacentral:rRNA from 1 species